rnacentral:piRNA from 1 species
CCUACAUGGUGGAAGGAGAGAAC